UACGGGGGGGGCAAGCGUUGUUCGGAAUUACUGGGCGUAAAGGGCUCGUAGGCGGCCAACUAAGUCAGACGUGAAAUCCCUCGGCUUAACCGGGGAACUGCGUCUGAUACUGGAUGGCUCGAGUUUGGGAGAGGGAUGCGGAAUUCCAGGUGUAGCGGUGAAAUGCGUAGAUAUCUGGAGGAACACCGGUGGCGAAGGCGGCAUUCUGGACCGACAUUGACGCUGAGGAGCGAAAGCCAGGGGAGCAAACGGG
rnacentral:rRNA from 1 species